GUCUAUGGCCACCGCGCCCUGGACGCGCCCGAUCUCGGCUGAUCUCGGGAGUUAAGCAGGGUCAGGUCUGGUUCAUACUGGGAGGAAUCGAAUGUGAGCUGUGUAGAUA
rnacentral:rRNA from 1 species